ACAGGAAGUAUACAAUUUGGCCAAGAAUUAUGAGCAAAUCAGUCCAGCCACACAUCUGGAUUACUUACAUUGGACUAACCCCACCUGAAAGUGUUCCGCGAAAAUACAGCAUUUUGCACGCGAAUAGCCAUUGCAUCAUUACAGGAGUGCUUCCAGAGCCAGGAGAAACAACCAGCUGCACUUACUGGGUUACAGAGCACGACGUUGAAAGUCGCAAUUCAGAUUGUGACUACAUUUUCUUGCAUUACUGCACGUCCCCGCAAUCUUUUUCGUCAAAUGAAUGUCAGUAGUGUUGGAGCUUAUCAAUAAAAACGCAUUUGUCUCA